UACAGAGGCCCCAAGCGUUACUGAGAAUCACUGGGUUUAAAGGGUGCGUAGGUGGUCCGUUAAGUUCGUUGUGAAAUCCCUGGGCUCAACCCAGGAAAUGCUUCGAAUACUGGCGGACUUGAGGCUAGUAGAGGUCACUGGAACUGACGGUGGAGCGGUGAAAUGCGUAGAUAUCGUCAGGAACGCCGAUGGUGAAGACAGGUGACUGGGCUAGUUCUGACACUGAGGCACGAAAGCGUGGGGAGCAAACAGG
rnacentral:rRNA from 1 species